AAAGGGUCCGUAGGCGGUUUGGUAAGUCAGUGGUGAAAGCCCAUCGCUUAACGAUGGAACGGCCAUUGAUACUGCCAGACUUGAAUUACUAGGAAGUAACUAGAAUAUGUAGUGUAGCGGUGAAAUGCUUAGAUAUUACAUGGAAUACCAAUUGCGAAGGCAGGUUACUACUAGUGGAUUGACGCUGAUGGACGAAAGCGUGGGGAGCGAACAGGAUUAGAUACCCGAGU
rnacentral:rRNA from 1 species